rnacentral:rRNA from 1 species
GACGAACGCUGGCGGCGUGCUUAGCACAUGCAAGUCGAACGAUGAACCCGGAGCUUGCUCCGGUGGAUUAGUGGAGAACGGGUGAGUAACACGUGAGUAACCUGCCCUUGACUCUGGGAUAACAACGGGAAACUGUAGCUAAUACCGGAUACGACCCUCGGCGGCAUCGCCAGGGGGUGGAAAGAAUUUCGGUCAAGGAUGGACUCGCGGCCUAUCAGCUAGUUGGUGAGGUAACGGCUCACCAAGGCGACGACGGGUAGCCGGCCGGAGAGGGUGACCGGCCACACUGGGACUGAGACACGGCCCAGACUCCUACGGGAGGCAGCAGUGGGGAAUAUUGCACAAUGGGCGCAAGCCUGAUGCAGCAACGCCGCGUGAGGGAUGACGGCCUUCGGGUUGUAAACCUCUUUUAGUAGGGAAGAAGCGAAAGUGACGGUACCUGCAGAAAAAGCACCGGCUAACUACGUGCCAGCCGCCGCCGUAA